rnacentral:tRNA from 1 species
GCCUGGGUGGCGAAAUGGCAGACGCGCCAGCCUUAGGAGCUGGUAUCGAAAGAUGUGGAGGUUCGAGUCCUCUCCCAGGCACCA